GGAGAAGUACCCAAGAGGCCGAAGGGGCUCCCCUGCUAAGGGAGUAGUGCGUGUUGAGCGCAGCGAGGGUUCGAAUCCCUCCUUCUCCGCCA
rnacentral:tRNA from 1 species